rnacentral:rRNA from 1 species
GUGGGGAAUUUUGGACAAUGGGCGCAAGCCUGAUCCAGCAAUGCCGCGUGCAGGAAGAAGGCCUUCGGGUUGUAAACUGCUUUUGUACGGAACGAAACGGUCCGGGUUAAUACCCUGGGCUAAUGACGGUACCGUAAGAAUAAGCACCGGCUAACUACGUGCCAGCAGCCGCGGUAAUACGUAGGGUGCAAGCGUUAAUCGGAAUUACUGGGCGUAAAGCGUGCGCAGGCGGUUUUGUAAGACAGGCGUGAAAUCCCCGGGCUCAACCUGGGGAUUGCGCUUGUGACUGCAAGGCUGGAGUGCGGCAGAGGGGGAUGGAAUUCCGCGUGUAGCAGUGAAAUGCGUAGAUAUGCGGAGGAACACCGAUGGCGAAGGCAAUCCCCUGGGCCUGCACUGACGCUCAUGCACGAAAGCGUGGGGAGCAAACAGGAUUAGAAACCCUGGUAGUCC